rnacentral:rRNA from 1 species
GGGACACGUGGUAUCCUGUCUGAAUAUGGGGGGACCAUCCUCCAAGGCUAAAUACUCCUGACUGACCGAUAGUGAACCAGUACCGUGAGGGAAAGGCGAAAAGAACCCCGGCGAGGGGAGUGAAAAAGAACCUGAAACCGUGUACGUACAAGCAGUGGGAGCACCUUCGGGUGUGACUGCGUACCUUUUGUAUAAUGGGUCAGCGACUUAUAUUCUGUAGCAAGGUUAACCGUAUAGGGGAGCCGCAGGGAAACCGAGUCUUAACUGGGCGUUAAGUUGCAGGGUAUAGACCCGAAACCCGGUGAUCUAGCCAUGGGCAGGUUGAAGGUUGGGUAACACUAACUGGAGGACCGAACCGACUAAUGUUGAAAAAUUAGCGGAUGACUUGUGGCUGGGGGUGAAAGGCCAAUCAAACCGGGAGAUAGCUGGUUCUCCCCGAAAGCUAUUUAGGUAGCGCCUCGUGAAUUCAUCUUCGGGGGUAGAGCACUGUUUCGGCUAGGGGGUCAUCCCGACUUACCAACCCGAUGCAAAC